CCUGGAGAAAGCCUGUGAGAGGAAGCUUUUGCUGAUUGGCUCCGUGCAACUGUAGACCCAGAAUUCCUGCUCCUCUGAGUUCCACCAGUCUUUUGCUGAUUGGGGCUUGCCUCCCACUUUCCACAUCCUAGCCUCUCCUCUGGCCUGGAAGCAGCAGCAGGAAAUGGCUGUCAAAGCUAGAGAAGCAGCAGCAGAGGAAAGAGAAGACCAGAGCCAAGGGACCCUCGGAAUCCAACAAAGAGCGCACUGCUCCCCGGAAGGAAGACCGCAGCGCCAGCAGCGGGGCGGAGGGCGACGUCUCUUCUGAGCGGGAGCCAUAGCCUCAGUGCUCAGGCUGAAGUGCAUCGCCAUUGGGCAGAACUAGAUCCUGAAAAACUCAAGAAGCUGAGCACCUACACUGCUCUAAGGAUUCGGGACUGGAACACGAGAAGACAGAAGUCAGAACCUGCGUACCUGAGUAGCCCCAUAGAAGCACCAAAGGACUCCACAUUUCCCACAGCUGCCAUACUCAGAUGGGCUGGAGGUUGCUCCGGGGUGGGGCAUGUGUUGGGGGCUCCCUGGCUCCCCACAGAAGGCUGCCUUGGUUUGCAGUAUGUCUUGACUUGCUUUCAGAACCGACCAGCCCAACAUCAUCCAUCAUCGUGUCCCCCGUGUGAGCGUCCCUCUGUGCAUUUAUGAUGGCCUCCAGCACAUCCGCGCUGCCCAUGGUCUGUGGCAGGUGUAAGGAGGGCUGUCCUCAGCAGUCAUGUGUCACAUGAGACCUUUGUUUGCAUCUUGUAAAUUUUUUCUUUUUUUCUAAAAAUAAAUAAUAAAACCCUGAA